UACGUAGGGGGCAAGCGUUGUCCGGAUUUAUUGGGCGUAAAGCGCGUGUAGGUGGCCAAGUAGGUCCGUUGUGAAAACUCGAGGCUCAACCUCGAGACGCCGAUGGAAACCAUCUGACUAGAGUCCGGAAGAGGAGAGUGGAAUUCCUGGUGUAGCGGUGAAAUGCGCAGAUAUCAGGAAGAACACCCGUGGCUAAGGCGGCUCUCUAGUACGUGACUGACGCUGAGACGCGAAAGCGUGGGGAGCGAACAGG
rnacentral:rRNA from 1 species